UACAGAGGGGGCAAGCGUUGUUCGGAAUUACUGGGCGUAAAGGGCGCGUAGGCGGCCUGCUAAGUCGAACGUGAAAUCCCCGGGCUCAACCCGGGAACUGCGUCCGAUACUGGCAGGCUUGAAUUCGGGAGAGGGAUGCGGAAUUCCAGGUGUAGCGGUGAAAUGCGUAGAUAUCAGGAGGAACACCGGCGGCGAAGGCGGCAUCCUGGACCGGCAUUGACGCUGAGGCGCGAAAGCCAGGGGAGCAAACGGG
rnacentral:rRNA from 1 species